CAGUUCAAUACGCAGUAAUGUUAUGUUGUCAUUACUUUAUGAAUUUAGCACCAAAAUAUCACGAUAUAUUGAAAACGUUGACUAUAAAAAUGUGUUGGAUAAUCCUGAACGUUGGAUAAGUGAGACUACUGUAUCUAUUUUAGAUGACAACGGAGUGCGCAUGCGUCGAGCCGCUCCCUGCUUUCCCGCCCAAAUGGGCGAAGCCCUCUCUGAGCCUGUGACGUGCGGGAGAAUCGUCCAAUCGGGCGGCGGCAGAGGGAGGAGGGGUGGGACCAUGGCCGAAAAGGCGGCCGUGGUGGAGGCGGGGCUUCUUCUUGGCGCCUCAGCCGUGAAUUUACCUCAGGAAACGGGGCCUCGUUUGGCGCCCAGUUGAAGAGUUUCAAGAGGAGAGAGACGCCUUUCCUUUGGGGAGUCACUUUUACCUCAGGAAAGGCUUUUCUUCCCGUCCAGAGGACCCUCUCUCUCCCACUCGGUUUUAGAAAUUUCUUUAUCGAACCUUUACCUCAGAAAAGCCUUGUGAAAUAGAAAGAAGAAAAUGCCAAUUUUAUUUAUUAAGAGAUUGUCACCUCAGACUUUACCUCAGAAAUGGCCAAGCCUUGUGAAACGGAAGGGAGAAACAAAGGCAAAACUUUUGAAAAUUAGCACAGCUUUUUCUGAAGGGACCAGAAAUUUCUUUAUCAAACCUUUACCUCAGAAAAGCCUUGUGAAAUAGAAAGAAGAAAAUGCCAAUUUUAUUUAUUAAGAGAUUGUCACCUCAGACUUUACCUCAGAAAUGGCCAAGCCUUGUGAAACGGAAGGGAGAAACAAAGGCAAAACUUUUGAAAAUUAGCACAGCUUUUUCUGAAGGGACCAGGUGAAUAUUGUUGCAUUUUAUUUAUUAUAAUCUGAAAUAAUAAUUGGUUUCCAGAAGCAUUCUCUCCUGACGUUUCGCCCACAUCUAUGGCAAGAAACCAUAGAUUGCUGGUGAAGUUUUUAUAUACAGUAGAGUCUCACAUAUCCAACGUAAACGGGCCGGCAGAACGUUGGAUAAGCGAAUAUGUUGGAUAAUAAGGAGGGAUUAAGGAAAAGCCUAUUAAACAUCAAAAUAGGUUAUGAUUUUACAAAUUAAGCACCAAAACAUCAUGUUUUACAACAAAUUUGACAGAAAAAGUACAGUAGAGUCUCACUUAUCCAACACAAACGGGCCGACAGAACGUUGGAUAAGCGAAUAUGUUGGAUAAUAAGGAGGGAUUAAGGAAAAGCCUAUUAAACAUCAGAAUAGGUUAUGAUUUUACAAAUUAAGCCCCAAAACAUCACGUUUUACAACAAAUUUGACAGAAAAAGUACAGUAGAGUCUCACUUAUCCAACACAAACAGGCCGGCAGAACGUUGGAUAAGCGAAUAUGUUGGAUAAUGAGGAGGGAUUAAGGAAAAGCCUAUUAAACAUCAAAAUAGGUUAUGAUUUUACAAAUGAAGCCCCAAAACAUCAUGUUUUACAACAAAUUUGACAGAAAAAGUACAGUAGAGUCUCACUUAUCCAACACAAACGGGCCGACGGAACGUUGGAUAAGCGAAUAUGUUGGAUAAUGAGGAGAGAUUAAGAAAAAACCUAUUAAACAUCAAAAUAGGUUAUGAUUUUACAAAUUAAGCCCCAAAACAUCAUGUUUUACAACAAAUUUGACAGAAAAAGUACAGUAGAGUCUCACUUAUCCAACAUAAACGGGCCGACGGAACGUUGGAUAAGCGAAUAUGUUGGAUAAUGAGGAGGGAUUAAGGAAAAGCCUAUUAAACAUCAGAAUAGGUUAUGAUUUUACAAAUGAAGCCCCAAAGCAUCAUGUUUUACAACAAAUUUGACAGAAAAAGUACAGUAGAGUCUCACUUAUCCAACACAAACGGGCCGACAGAACGUUGGAUAAGCGAAUAUGUUGGAUAAUGAGGAGAGAUUAAGGAAAAGCCUAUUAAACAUCAAAAUAGGUUAUGAUUUUACAAAUUAAGCCCCAAAACAUCACGUUUUACAACAAAUUUGACAGAAAAAGUACAGUAGAGUCUCACUUAUCCAACAUAAACGGGCUGGCAGAACGUUGGAUAAGCGAAUAUGUUGGAUAAUGAGGAGGGAUUAAGGAAAAGCCUAUUAAACAGCAAAAUAGGUUAUGAUUUUACAAAUUAAGCCCCAAAACAUCACGUUUUACAACAAAUUUGACAGAAAAAGCAGUUCAAUACGCAGUAAUGUUAUGUUGUCAUUACUUUAUGAAUUUAGCACCAAAAUAUCACGAUAUAUUGAAAACGUUGACUAUAAAAAUGUGUUGGAUAAUCCUGAACGUUGGAUAAGUGAGACUACUGUAUCUAUUUUAGAUGACAACGGAGUGCGCAUGCGUCGAGCCGCUCCCUGCUUUCCCGCCCAAAUGGGCGAAGCCCUCUCUGAGCCUGUGACGUGCGGGAGAAUCGUCCAAUCGGGCGGCGGCAGAGGGAGGAGGGGUGGGACCAUGGCCGAAAAGGCGGCCGUGGUGGAGGCGGGGCUUCUUCUUGGCGCCUCAGCCGUGAAUUUACCUCAGGAAACGGGGCCUCGUUUGGCGCCCAGUUGAAGAGUUUCAAGAGGAGAGAGACGCCUUUCCUUUGGGGAGUCACUUUUACCUCAGGAAAGGCUCUUCUUCCCGUCCAGAGGACCCUCUCUCUCCCACUCGAUUUUAGAAAUUUCUUUAUCAAACCUUUACCUCAGAAAAGCCUUGUGAAAUAGAAAGAAGAAAAUGCCAAUUUUAUUUAUUAAGAGAUUGUCAUCUCAGACUUUACCUCAGAAAUGGCCAAGCCUUGUGAAACGGAAGGGAGAAACAAAGGCAAAACUUUUGAAAAUUAGCACAGCUUUUUCUGAAGGGACCAGCGCUGAAUUCAAGUCAAAGGGAAGAAAGGGAAGAAACAAAAGGUCGAAGAGACAGAAGACAGAAGAUGCUUGAAGACACUCUCGCAAGGACACCGCCCGCCCCCCAAAAAAGGUCAUUGUCAGGGUAAUGGGUGUCAGGCUAGGCAUUUCAUGUCUAUCUUUGCAAUAAAAAACAGGCUACCUGUGUGCUAGGCUUUUGCAUGAAUAACACGGUUCCCCUCGUGUGUGGCAUCGAAGGUUCCCACUCGGGAACGGACGGGUCCUCCCUUUGUUCUAGGCAGAUGAUGGGGGUUUUCCUAUACAAGCCGUAGGGGCCACAGCUUGGGGGGCAGCGGGGGGCCCGGCCCUGGCACCGCGGGGAGCAGCACACCUUACGGGCAUUUUAAAAGCUCCCUUAAACUUAGACAGUGGCUAGCAAUAAAAAUAUUAAUACCUUAACUCACCUACUAACCCUACUAACACCAUUCUAACUAGGGCAGGCUGGCCUUUUAAAUAGGACUGUGUUUUGCCUGCUGGCAAGAACCAAGCUGGGAGGGAAGGGGGCCUCCUGGCCCCCCAUAGAAGGGCUCCCCUAGAAGGACAUUCAAAAUGCCCGCAAGGUGUCCUGAGAGCAGCCCCUGGGGCCCUCAGUGUGCCCCCCACGGUGCCAGGGCUGGGCCCCCCGCUCUCCCCCAACCCAUGACCCCUGCCGCCUGUAUCUCGUCCGCCCAGGGCCAACGGACGCCCCCUCCCUCCCCGGGCGGAGCUUCGGCGCCACACACAAGGGGAGGCCAGCCGUGGCCGCCAGAACAUGGCCAACCUGGUUUUGGACUGCAAACAUAGGCAUGUAGGGACCCCCUUUUAUUUAUGUGAGGCCACCCACCCAGGGGACCUGGUUAAAGGGGAUCCUCUAUUCUUAAAGUAAGGCCUAUAGAGAUCUCCUAUCCAGAAACUAAGGCGGCCUGGCCUAUAGAGAUCCCCUUUUGUUAAACUAAGGUGGCCUGGCCUAUAGAGAUCUCUUGUUGUUAAACUAAGGUGGCCUGGCCUAUAGAGAUCUCCUAUUCUUUAAGGUAACGCCAGGCGAUGUGGAGAUCCCUGGUUCUUUUAACCCUUAAGGCCAACCGUGGGGAGAUCCCUGGUUCUUUUAACCCUUAAGGCCAACCGUGGGGAGAUCCCUGGUUCUUUUAACCCUUAAGGCCAACCGUGGGGAGAUCCCUGGUUCUUUUAACCCUUAAGGCCAACCGUGGGGAGAUCCCUGGUUCUUUUAACCCUUAAGGCCAACCGUGGGGAGAUCCCUGGUUCUUUUAACCCUUAAGGCCAACCGUGGGGAGAUCCCUGGUUCUUUUAACCCUUAAGGCCAACCGUGGGGAGAUCCCUGGUUCUUUUAACCCUUAAGGCCAACCGUGGGGAGAUCCCUGGUUCUUUUAACCCUUAAGGCCAACCGUGGGGAGAUCCCUGGUUCUUUUAACCCUUAAGGCCAACCGUGGGGAGAUCCCUGGUUCUUUUAACCCUUAAGGCCUGCCUGGGGAGAUAUCCUAUUCUUUUUUCAUGAAAAGUCGGGUAUAGACCUUCUCUUUUCUCUCCCGUUUCAUGUGCCUGGACUCCCGGAGGGCUCCUGCCGGACACCGUCUCCCAUCGGCCGAGAGGGAUCCUUCCUGUUUGGAAAGCAUCUGCUACACAGGUAAAAAGAAGAUUCCGGGAAGGAGAUUCCUACAGCGGAGCCCUAAAGCCAGGUGAGACGUUCCUUCCAACCUCCACGGCUGCUUUGCACACACACACAUGACACACACAUGACACACACACACACGCAUAUACAGCUGGGGGCCCUCAGGGACUCUCCCCCCAAUAGAUCGGGGACUCCCACUCCGGCAAUUGGCCAUUGUAAAUGCCUUGAAGCAGUUUGGGGCUUCCGGCCAAGCGCUCGCAAAGAGAACCCAUUCAAGGUAUACGUGGAGCCCCUUUUAUUUAUUAUUUAUUGACAGCAUUUCUAUUCCGCCCUUCUUUCUCACCCCAAAGGGGACUCAGGGCGGAUCACAUGACACAUAUAGGCAAACAUUCAGUGCCUUUUAACAUAGAACAAAGACAAACAAACAUAAGCUCCGAGCGGGUCUCGAACUCAUGACCUCCUGGUCAGAGUGAUUCAUUGCAGUUAUAAUUGCAGCUGGCUUCCUCUCCCGCCUGCGCCACAGCCCGGGCCAACCUUGAUAAAAAGGGCCUGGCACGUGGAAAACUCUAUUUGUAAGGCAAACCCUCGUUAAAGGAGGUUUGCAAUUAAUUUAAAACCAGGCUUCUGAGGGACCCGCUGCGUUUAAAGCCAAACCUAGCAGGUGGGAACCUCUCUUGUUGGAUAAAGGAGAUCCCCUCUGGUUAACGUAAGGGGAGGGACCCUCCAUUUUUAAUAGGAUGCCUGGCAGAAUCUUAACCUCAAUGCAGGCCUAUGGGGUCCAGCCUUAUUCUCAAUGACGGCAUAGCCAGGCAUGAAGGGACCCCAUAUUAUUAAUUUGAAGCCUGGUAAAAAGAGAUUUAUGUAUUUAUUUAUUUACUACAUUUAUACCCCGCCCUCUUUUCCCUUAAAGGGGACUCAGAGCGGCUUACAAGUUAUAUUUAUAUACACUAUCUCAUUAGCAUAGCACAAUAUUAGCAUUAUAUAUUACUACAUUGCACUAUACCACUAUAUAGAAAUAUUGUUAGCAAUUUUACAUUUAAAAUAUAAUAUGUAAUUAAUAUUAUUGUAUCAUUGUUAGUAUUAUAUUGCUUAAUUUAUUUAUUUAUUUAUUUAUUAGAUUUAUAUGCUGCCCUUCUCACCCCGAAGGGGACUCAGAACGGCUUAAAAAUUAAAUUUACAUACAAUAUUAUAUUAUUAGCAUAGUACAAUACUGGCAAUAAAUUACUAUAUUGUACUAUAUCAAUAUAUGGUAGUAUUAUUAGUAAUAUUACAUGCAAAAUAUAAUAUAUAAUUAAUAUUAUUAUAUUGUAUUAUUAGUAUAUCGUAUUACAAUAUAAUAUUAUGAAUAUAUGUAUAUACAAUAUGUUGUAAUUAUUAUAUAUUAAAUUUUAUAUAUAUAUAUAUAUAUAUAUAUAUAUACACACACACACAGUAGAGUCUCAUUUAUCCAACAUAAACGGGCCAGCAGAAUGUUGGAUAAGCGAAUAUGUUGGAUAAUAAGGAGGGAUUAAGGAAAAGCCUAUUAAACAUCAAAUUAGUUUAUGAUUUUACAAAUUAAGCACCAAAUCAUCAUGUUAUACAACAAAUUUCACAAAAAAAGUAGUUCAAUAUGCAGUAAUGCUAUGUAGUAAUUACUGUAUUUAUGAAUUUAGUACCAAAAUAUCAUGAUGUCUUGAAAACAUUGUCUACAAAAAUGCGUUGGAUAAGCGAGUGUUGGAUAAGUGAGACUCUACUGUAUAUAAAAAUUAGAAUAGCAUGUUAUUGGGGAGGAGCAUCUUAAUUAUUAGAUGUCAGUAUUAGUCAUUAGAUGUUAAUAUUAGUUAUUCAUAUUAGUAUCAAUAUUACAUUAAUAUACAAUAGAGCAGGGGUCCCCAAACUAAGGCCCGUGUGCUGGAUGCGGCCCAUCGAAGCCAUUUAUCCGGCCCCCACAGCACAACCCUUAUUAUUAUUAUUAUUAUUAUUAUUAGCAUUGAGGCUGGGUGGCCAUCUGUCAGGGGUGCUUUGCUUGUGCUUUCGGUGCACAAAGGCAGAAAGGGAUUGGACUCAAUGGCCAACCCUUCCAACCCUCAUAAUUAUUAUUAUUAUUAUUAUUAAUUAUUAUUAUUAUUGCUUGGUGGCCAACUAUAGUCUGGCCCUGCAAUGGUCUGAAGGAUCGUGAACUGGCUCCCUGUUUAAAAGGUUUGGGGACCCCUGCAAUAGAGUAUAUUAUUAUCCUAGCACAAUGUUAUUAUGUUAUAUAGUAGUAUGUAUGUUCAUAUUAUUUAUUCAUAUUAGUAUCAAUAUGACAUUAAUAUACAAUAGAGUGUAUUAUUAUCCUAGCACAAUAUUCAUAUGUUCUAUAGUAGUAUGUUGUUGCUAGGGGGAGGGGCCCCCCACUGAUGGGGAGGCCCCCCCCCACUGAGAUCCCCUGUCAUUAAUGUUAGACCAGGCAUUUAACGCCUACCUUUGCAUUAAAGAGCAGGCUCCUAGGCCUUUGCAUUCAAGAGCAGUGCGCUAGGCCUUUGCGCAAGGAACACCACCCACGGCUCCCCUUGUGCGUGGCGUUGAGGCCCCACUCGGUGACGGACGGGUCCUCCCUUUGCCCUGGGCAGGUCGUGGGGGGGGGUCUCCCUGGAUGUGCAGGGGGUCACGGCUGGGGGGAGAGCGGGGGCCCGGCCUUGGCACCCCCCUGGGGACCCGAGGGGCCGCUCUCAGCCCACGUCACGGGCAUUUUAAAACGUCCCCGGGAUGUAGUAGCUCAGAUUAAUCCCUGCACUAACCGCUAACCCUACUAACCCAGUUCUAACCCGGGCAGGCUAGGCUUUUAAAUAGGACUGUUUUUGCCUGUUGGCAAGAACCAAGUGGGAGGGGGCCUCCGGGCCUCCCGUGGGAAGAAGGGCUCCGCCCCCCCGGCCCCCCGGCCCCUGCCCUGUGCUGGGAGCCCCCCGCCCGGGCCCCCAGAGGCCUCCCUGUGGUACCGGGCUUGGCCCCCGCUCUGCCCCCAUCCGACGGCCUAGGAAAGCCCCCCACCAUCCGCCCAGGGCCAACGGACGGCCCUCCCUCCCAGGGGCAGCCGCGUUCCUCACGCAAAGGUCUGGCGCACGGGAGCCUGUUUCUGAAUGCAAACGUGGGGCCCAGGACCCCCCCCUUGUCUCCGUGCAGGGCCACCCCCCCAGGGACCCCCACAAAUGCCUGGUGACAGGGGAUCCUCUCCUCUUAGCAGGAGGAAAAGCCACGUGCGUAAAGCGGUGCCUUUGCUCCCGUCGUUCCCAAGAGCCCCCCAAAAGCGAGAUGCUCCCCUGGGUUCAGCCCUCCUGACCCCUGUCUUCUCCCUUGUUCCAUGUCUCCAAAAUCCCCGAGGGAGGGGCUCCUCCUGGACAAGAGCCAAGGACGGACGGACGGACGGACGGACGGAGAUCCCAGAGAGAGAGCGGAGAGCAGGACGCCUUGCCUUUUCCCAGCUGCUGAGGUCGACCCCUUUCCAACGAUGUCAGCUUUCAAGAAGAAAACUCUUCCCAAAAAAGUGUGUUCUGGUUAUUAUUCAAAGGCACAACGUUCAAUAUUUGACAGCAUUAAACAUCUAGAUUACAGUACAGUUUAUGUUACUGCAUUUUAUACACCUGACCUUGUUUUUACAAAUUUUUGCCUCUCUAUAUAUAUAUUGUACUAUGCUCAGACUCAGUGUUCUGAUAUGCUGUUAUGUGGUUUAAUUGUUUAUAUUGUUUAUAUUUUUAAUGUAUGACUGUUUAUUACAUGUGACAUUGGGCUUGUUUCCCAUGUGAGCCACCCCGAGUCCUCCUGGGGGAGAUGGGAGCGGGAAUAUAAAAAUAAAGUAUUAUUUUGUAUUAUUAUUAUUAUUUAUAAUAUUUAUUAUAUAUAAUUUUCUUGCACCCCAAGUACCUCUGGCAAGUGCCAAAGAGUAUUUAACUCUGCCUACAUGGCACUAAAGUGUAUUUAUAUGUUGAUUGUUCCUAUUGAUUUUAUGUUAUGUUUUUUUUUGCUUUGUAUAAUAAGGCAUUGAAUUUUUGCCUUAAUAAUAAUAAUUUUAUGAAUGUUUUAAUGUCACUGAAUUUUAAAUUGAAUUGAAAUGUCAUUGUAAUUGUUUAUUAUGUGUAUUUUCUAUUUGUAAGCCACCCUGAGUCUCCCCUUAUUGGGUGAGAAGGUUUGGGAAGAAAUACUGUCAUAAAUAAAUAAAUAAAUAUUCUGUGUC